UCACGGAUAAGAGCACUCCGGAUCCUUGGUGGAGCACAGAUUGGUCUAAGUGUUAUAUGUGUGAUCCUUGGUGUUGUUGGAGUAAUUCUUAGUUACACAGAAAAAACAAACGUUGUCAAGGUUAUUAUAACAACUACACCAACGGUUAUUAUUAUGUGUAUUAUGAUAAUUGCCGUGAUGAAACCGGUAACGUUAUACUGUAUUCGAUUUGCAUGGCUUUUUCAGGAUGGUUUAUACUGACAGGCUGUUUACCUUUAUGUAUGACAGAAAAACGGCAAUCAAGCUGGAAAUGUUUAACCGUAGGGUUUCUGGUUUGUAAUAUAUUAUCAGCGGUUGUGUUUUCUUCCACUGUGUUUUCCUUUGGAGUUGUCGGAGCCAUUAUU